rnacentral:pre_miRNA from 1 species
GUAGUACUCUCUCCGUCCGAAAAUACUUGUCAUUAAAAUAGAUAAAAGGGAUGUAUUUAGACGUAUUUUAGUUCUAGAUACAUCUUUUUUUAUCCAUUUUGAUGACAAGUAUUUCCGGACAGAGGGAAUAUAUA